CCUACGGGUGGCAGCAGUGGGGAAUAUUGGGCAAUGGGCGCAAGCCUGACCCAGCAACGCCGCGUGAAGGAAGAAGGCUCUCGGGUUGUAAACUUCUUUUAUCAGGGACGAAGCAAGUGACGGUACCUGAUGAAUAAGCCACGGCUAACUACGUGCCAGCCGCCGCGGUAAUACGUAGGUGGCAAGCGUUAUCCGGAUUUACUGGGUGUAAAGGGCGUGUAGGCGGGAAAGCAAGUCAGAUGUGAAAACCAUGGGCUCAACCCGUGGCCUGCAUUUGAAACUGUUUUUCUUGAGUACUGGAGAGGAAGACGGAAUUCCUGGUGUAGCGGUGAAAUGCGUAGAUAUUAGGAGGAACACCGGUGGCGAAGGCGGUCUGCUGGACAGCAACUGACGCUGAGGCGCGAAAGCGUGGGGAGCAAACAGGAUUAGAUACCCCGGUAGUC
rnacentral:rRNA from 1 species